GACGAACGCUGGCGGCGUGCUUAACACAUGCAAGUCGAACGGAAAGGCCCUGCUUUUGUGGGGUGCUCGAGUGGCGAACGGGUGAGUAACACGUGAGUAACCUGCCCUUGACUUUGGGAUAACUUCAGGAAACUGGGGCUAAUACCGGAUAGGAGCUCCUGCUGCAUGGUGGGGGUUGGAAAGUUUCGGCGGUUGGGGAUGGACUCGCGGCUUAUCAGCUUGUUGGUGGGGUAGUGGCUUACCAAGGCUUUGACGGGUAGCCGGCCGGAGAGGGUGACCGGCCACAUUGGGACUGAGGUACGGCCCAGUCUCCUACGGGAGGCAGCAGUGGGGAAUAUUGCAAAGUGGGCGGAAGCCUGAUGCAGCAUCGCCGCGUGCGGGAUGACGGCCUUCGGGUUGUAAACCGCUUUCGCCUGUGACGAAGCGUGAGUGACGGUAAUGGGUAAAGAAGCACCGGCUAACUACGUG
rnacentral:rRNA from 1 species